ACGGGGGGUGCGAGCGUUGUCCGGAAUCACUGGGCGUAAAGGGUGCGUAGGCGGGUUGUUAAGUCAGUGGUGAAAGCUCCGAGCCUAACUCGGAAAUUGCCAUUGAUACUGACGAUCUUGAGUACAUUUGAGGUGGGCGGAAUGUGUCAUGUAGCGGUGAAAUGCUUAGAUAUGACACAGAACACCGAUUGCGAAGGCAGCUCACUAUACUGUAACUGACGCUGAGGCACGAAAGCGUGGGGAGCAAACAGGA
rnacentral:rRNA from 1 species